rnacentral:rRNA from 1 species
CCUACGGGAGGCAGCAGUGAGGAAUAUUGGUCAAUGGGCGUAAGCCUGAACCAGCCAAGUCGCGUGAGGGAUGAAGGUUCUAUGGAUUGUAAACCUCUUUUAUCAGGGAAUAAAGUGCGGGACGUGUCCCGUUUUGUAUGUACCUUAUGAAUAAGGCUCGGCCAACACCGUGCCAGCAGCCGCGGUAAUUCGGAGGAUCCGAGCGUUAUCCGGAUUUAUUGGGUUUAAAGGGUUCGUAGGCGGCCUUUCAAGGCCGCGGGGAAAGUCGGUGGCCCAACCAUAGAAUGGCCGUUGAAACUGGCGGGCUUGAGUAUGUUAGAGGCAGGCGGAAUGCGUGGUGUAGCGGUGAAAUGCUUAGAUAUCACGCAGAACCCCGAUUGCGAAGGCAGCCUGCCAGGCCAUGACUGACGCUGAUGCACGAAAGCGUGGGGAUCAAACAGGAUUAGAUACCCGAGUAGUC